rnacentral:rRNA from 1 species
GACGAACGCUGGCGGCGUGCCUAACACAUGCAAGUCGAACGAAGUGGCGAACGGGUGAGUAACGCGUAAUCAACUUGCCCUUCAGAGGGGGACAACAGUUGGAAACGACUGCUAAUACCGCAUACUGAUGCAGGGGAUUGCGUCUGAUUAGCUAUUUGGAGGGGUAACGGCCCACCAAGGCGAUGAUCAGAAGCCGGUCUGGGGAGUUGGACGGCCACAUUGGGACUGGAGAACGGCCCCAGCUCCUACGGGAAGCAGCAGUGGGGGAACUUCCGAAAUGGGCGGAAGUCUGGCGAGGCAACGGCGGGGGAGUGGUGGCGGCCUUCGGGUUGUAAAGCUCUGUUAAUCGGGACGCGGUACCGGAAUAGAAAGCCACGGCUAACUACGUGCCAGCAGCCGCGGUAAUAC